rnacentral:misc_RNA from 1 species
UGUUUUGAACCAUCUGAGCUAAUGUAUCUCCAACCAGAGCACGCACUGUUGAUGCAUCAGCUGAAAGCCUAGCGCCAAUUGUGCCACUUGAGUGCUCAAGCUCAUCAAACCACCCAACCUCCAUAUGGACCACCUUCUCAAAACUCAUUGAUCUAAUCCUCUGGAUUAACUUAGACCCAGCCACAGAAAAUAAAUAUAACUGUGUUAUACACGCCAAAAAUGAUACAAUGCCAACUAUCAUAAAUAUUAUUGCCCAGAACUUUGAAUCCUUCCUCAACUCAUGAGCUGGUUUGAAAAAUGCUUUAAUCACUCUAGAAAUUAGGAUACCAAAAAGAGGAUAUAUUACACCGUUGAUAAUUGCAGCUAUAGAUCCAGCUACAAGCACAGGUAUCUCAGGCUUGUUGAGAUAUGCA